rnacentral:lncRNA from 1 species
UGUGCUUUUUUAUUUUUCUUAUCUCGAGACUCUGUUUUUUCACUUGUCUCCUUACUAUUUCGAGAUUCCCAAUUUUUCUUUUUCUCAUUUUUUUUCAAAAUUACACUUAUUCAUCAAACAGAUUUAAGGGAGAUUAUAUAAUCCUAUAUUCUUCAAAACAUAGCAACUUUACUCCUAAACUCGACCGAAUUACAUGCCACUAAUAUACACAUGAUCAAAUGAAGGUUUGAAAGAAGGGCAUAUGAUAUUUUGAGGGUUAUGAAAAAGGC